rnacentral:sRNA from 1 species
UCUUCAAGCUCUUCUGGCAGUGAUUCUGACAGUGAGGUUGACAAAAAGUUAAAGAGGAAAAAGCAAGUUGCUCCAGAAAAACCUGUAAAGAAACAAAAGACAGGUGAAACUUCGAGAGCCCUGUCAUCUUCUAAACAGAGCAGCAGCAGCAGAGAUGAUAACAUGUUUCAGGUAUUUCUUUAAAUCCAGAACAGUGGAGCCAGCUGAAGGAACAGAUUUCUGACAUUGAUGAUGCAGUAAGAAAACUGUAAAAUUCGAGCCAUAUAAAUAAAACCUGUACUGUUCUAGUUGUUUUAAUCUGUCUUUUUACAUUGGCUUUUGUUUUCUAAAUGUUCUCCAAGCUGUUGUAUGUUUGGAUUGCAGAAGAAUUUGUAAGAUGAAUACUUUUUUUAAUGUGCAUUAUUAAAAAUAUUGAGUGAAGCUAAUUGUCAACUUUAUUAAGGAUUACUUUGUCUGCCCACCACCUAGUGUAAAAUAAAAUCAAGUAAUACAAUCUUAACUGUUGUGG